GGCAAUUCUGGCUGUGUUUCCGCAGGGACUACAGAGAAAGAGAAGGCAAGCAAACCUGCUCCAUGUACACUUUAGCCAAAGCCCUAUGCCCGUUCUGUACUGUCAGUGAAGAGACAUGA
rnacentral:snoRNA from 1 species